AGCAAGGCUUCCUGACAGAGACCGUGGACCCUGAUCUUAACCUUAACACAGUGAGGUUCCAGGAAGAGCACAGCAGCCUCUUGUAGCUUAUCUGCAGAACCUGGAGUUCUAAUAAAUCAGCGUGGGGAAAGAGGCACUGCUGGUUUAUCCAGGAUGGAAGCUUCUGGUUCUUUACACAGAAGACAAAAUGAAAGAAUUUUAAAACGGAACAGCUCUUUAGUGUAGUAAAAUACAAGAAAAUACAAUCGUGAAGAUGGGCCGGGAAGAGUAACAACUUUAACAGAGAGGAUAAACGCUCUUUAGAGAGAGAAUAUGCUGUGGGCUGGAAGGGAAACAUGCUCUUUCCUCAGGCACCUGCGUUUGAGCACACUCCAUCAAAGCAUGGUGAUGGAAGACCUUGGAACCUUCAGGAGGUGGGGCUUGCUGGAGGAAGUGGAUCAUGGGAGGCAGGCUUUGAGGCUUGACAGUCAGGUCCUACUUCCGGUUCCUCUCUCUGGUUCCUGAAUGCUGAAGCAAUGCGACUGGCUGCUUCAGGCUCCCCCCGCUGUGAAUUCCACCCAGAUGUACGCCAGGAUGGACUUCUCUCUCCCUUCAAUUGUUUCUGGUUGCAGCAACAAGGUAAGUGGCUCUGUUGGUGAAGGUGUGAGGCAGUGUGUAGUAGCUGCUGAGUGUGGAAUGUGACUUCUAUUGCCUUCCUGUAGCCUAGGAAGGCUGCGCAAACGCUGGGGUCCACCUGAAUCCUCCUCUCAGUGCUGGGUGAGACCACAUGUUACCACAGUUGGAUUAAAAAGAUUAUUUUAAUAUUUAUUUUAUGUGUAUGGAUGUUUGUCUGUAUGUAUGUGUGUUUGGCACAUGCCUGUGGAGAAAGGUUGUCAGAUUCAUUGGUACUGGAAUUAUUCGAGGCUGUGAGCAACCAUGCAGUUGACAGGAACUGAAUCCAGUUCCCCCACCUCCCAAAAAGCACUUAACUGUUGAUCCAUCUAUUUAGUUGCAACUUUUUUCUUUUUAAAAAAUGAGGACUCAUCUCCUAUGUUUGCAAGGCAGACUUAGCCACCUCUCCAAGCCCUGUUUUUACUGCUAGAAUUUUGAGCUAUAAAUUUCCCUCAAAGCACGGCUUUGUCUGCCUCUCACAAACACUGCCUUUAUCUUUCAUUUGAUUCGGGCAAAUCAGAGAGCUGCAGGUUCAGUGAGCAACGCUAGUCAAAAUAAAGAGGAGAGUGAUAGAGGAAGACGUUUAAUGUUCUUCUGGCUCCACUCCUGUUCUGUGUAAAAUAUACUGACCCAAGGCAACCUAAGGGAGACGGGGGCAUACUUCAGUCACACCUCCACGUCACAGUCCAUUAUUAUUACUAAGAAGUUAGCAUGGGAAUGUAAGCAGCCAUUCACAUCACAUCCACAGUCAAGAGCAGAAAGAUGCAAAUGUACCCAUGCUAUCUGCUUGGUCACUCAGUUUUCUGCACUCUUGGGUGGCUCAGGGCCCAGCCUAGGGAGUGGUGCCUCCCAUGGUGUCAUUGAGCCAUCCAUAAAAUCUCCCACAAACACACUCACAGACCAAACUCAUCGUCAUAAUUCUUUACCAGGUGAUUCUAGAUUAUGGCAAGUUGGCAUUUAAAACUAAGCACUACAGAUACUAACCUCUGACCUGCCCGUGCACACACACACAUGCACACACAAGCAUGCAUGUGCAAGUACGUACAUACUCAUGCAUGUAUGUUCAGGUACACAUACAUAUACACACACACACAAACUCUAUGCGUACGUGCAUGUACAGGUACACACACACACGGUAUUUUCCUAGUGCAAUGUUUACUAGGGAAGCCCAUUUGCUGGAUUUUCUCCAGUAAUGGACAUCUCUCUCUUUUACUGGACCAUGGAUAACUCUCUUACAUUUCAGACUGACGAGGUUUGCCAUGGGCCAAGCACCUGUUGGUUAUUCAAAGAGCAAGCACUGCAAUAAACUAUUCACGUGGCUCCCAAAGCUUCUCUAUGGAACAGAAUGACACUGGCUGUCCCCCACCAACAUGUUCUGUUGUGUUAACACGGAGGAAGCUACAAACAAAGACACGUCCCCUAGUUCCAUUCUAAUUAAAAGCCUCGUGAAGUGCUAUUGAAUUCCCUGGUCCAAAAUAUUUGUCUCAUUAAGAGUUUUCGCACACUGGCUAAUGAUGUAAUUAGCUAAGCUCCUUAAAUUAAAUCUUUUACCAGCAUUGCAAGUUGGCAGAGGUCCAGAAUUACCAUCUUCACAUUGUACAAAAGUUUACUGCGUGCCACAGGAGAGCGAUGGCCUAUACUUGACUGUGGAUGGGAUUUCCAUGUGAACCUGAGGCAGGAGGCUGCCCAGCAUCACUGCCUGCUCAUGGUGCUCCCUGCCCACUCUCUAAGUUCCUGUCAUCAGCUAGCAAACAGGGAGAUCCUGUCUGCUCUAUAUCUCUACCUGUGGACCCUUUAUUUAUUUAGACAAUUAUUUUCUUUAGGUUGUAUAAAUACAAAAUGAGCAAUGAAAUGUCCUUUAUCUCCAAACAAGACAGGACCCAGGUGUGAGCAGGGGCCAUACUGAAACUAUUAGUAGAUCUGCUAGUAGUAUCUUUCCCAAUUAAAAAUGGCAUCUUAUUAAAUGUGUAUGUGUAUUAGUUACUGUUCUUUUUAUUAUUACUGAUAAUAAGUUGAUGUGUGGUGAGAUAGACAGGCAUAUGUCAUAGCUCGACGCAAGUGCAGGGUAGAGGGCAACUUGAGGGAGUUCGUUCUCCCCUUCCAUCUUUAUAGGAUAUGGGGAUUAAACUCAUAUCCCCAGGAAACUUGAGAGACAAAGGAUUUAUUUGGUCUGAGGCUCAAGGAACAGAUCGCUCCUGAAUGGAUGACCUUGGCGCCAGCUCUUGUCUAUGGUACAGGAAGCUGUACCAUAUCUCAUCAGACCAGGAAACUUUGCCUAUAAAACGGAGAAACAAUAUGGUCCAGGUUACAACUGACGAGAGGAUAAUAAGGCACAAUACACCUCAAAGGGGAACUGUUAUCCUCACUGAACAGAUAGAGGGGGUGCUUUUGCACCAACUCCCCUAAUUCUCUUUGGUCAUCUCCUCAGUAAAUAGUUACUGCAAUUCACUUCAAAUUCUCAGGCAAUCUAUCACAUUGGAUGAACUUUAUUGGUAAAUUUUCACAGGCACAUUGAGCCCUGGGUCACCAAGCAUCACCUUGCUUUCUGAUGACAUCUCCCUGGUUCCCCAAAUGACAAAUCACACUGUUCUUUAUGCUCAGUGCCUCUGAUAUCAUAACUCACAACAGAUGCAUCAAUACAAAAAUUGAAUUUGCAAUUUCCCCCAAGACACUUUCAAGCACUUAUUACAAUUCUUUUAUUAUGACAAAAAAAUUAAUAACAUUAGCACUGAGCUUUUCAGAGUCACCUGCUGGGGUAAUGUUUACUGAGUGGAAAUCACAAAGAUGAGGUGCCUCGAAGACUUGUUAAUAUUUCGGCUAAUGUUCAACCCCUUCGUUCAACCCCUUUAUCCUCUCAAUUUAUCUUAGAUUAGCAGAGCAAAUGCUGACAGUAAUGUGUAAAUAAGGUGGUGCUAAGGUUCCUCUUCAGUCCCCACAGGGUGGUGCAGGCGCUCAGAGGCCAGAGAAACAAAUCAUGUAACCCCUGAGCCAUGGAUAAGAGAGGUUUCGUGUGUUGCCAGAAUUCAAAGCUAGGACAGUCGAGGAAAGGACACCCAACCAUGAGGUCUUGCAAUCGUGGGCUUAUUUUUCUCCAGCAGCGGUGGCAAUCUAGAUGCUGUGAUUUAGGACGAGUGCAACCUCUGGGGUGGUCGGCAAAGAUGUGAGUUCCCAAGGUUAACCUGCUCCUCUGCUACUAAGCUCCAGCAUUCGAUUCUAUUUGUAGAAAGGCUGUAACGCCUCGAGGGGGUGUGUUUACGUUCCGGUAAGAGAGAGCGGGAAGAAAACGAGACCAGGAAGGAUGCUGCCUAAUGUCAUUGGUUCCAUUCUAUCAGAAAAUAAUUGCUGCAAAAGAUGACUCUGCCUCUCCCUCGGGCCUCAGUUUACACUUCAUCGGCCACAACUGAGUGAUAAUGAAAGGCAGCCCGCGCCGUGCAUGAAGCUGCCAUACCAAGGGGGCAAGUGGGGCCCUUCAGAACCGGUAGAGAGAAGGGCAGGUGUUCAGAGUAUUGAAAACAUCCCAUCAGGGGGCAGCGACCUUGGAAACUGUGUCCCAGCUUUCCAGUUUGCCUUAGUUGUCUCCUGCCUAGAAACCCCUGGUGUGAAGACACUGUUGCCAGCUUCCUCUGUCUCCCCUGCUUUCAAAAUGGCUUUUAUCCACUUGGCGGGAGGAUUCCAUGUCACGACAGACUUCACGGCAGCAGCCCAAAUUCCUGCAAGAAG
rnacentral:lncRNA from 1 species